CAAGACGUUAAGAUUAAAGGU
rnacentral:piRNA from 1 species